rnacentral:rRNA from 1 species
UGGGGAAUCUUGGACAAUGGGGGGCAACCCUGAUCCAGCCAUGCCGCGUGAGUGAUGAAGGCCUUAGGGUCGUAAAGCUCUUUCGCCUGUGAAGAUAAUGACGGUAGCAGGUAAAGAAACCCCGGCUAACUCCGUGCCAGCAGCCGCGGUAAUACGGAGGGGGUUAGCGUUGUUCGGAAUUACUGGGCGUAAAGCGCACGUAGGCGGACCAGAAAGUUGGGGGUGAAAUCCCGGGGGCUCAACCCCGGAACUGCCUCCAAAACUAUUGGUCUAGAGUUCGAGAGAGGUGAGUGGAAUUCCAAGUGUAGAGGUGAAAUUCGUAGAUAUUUGGAGGAACACCAGUGGCGAAGGCGGCUCACUGGCUCGAUACUGACGCUGAGGUGCGAAAGUGUGGGGAGCAAAACAGGAUUAGAUACCCUGGUAGUCCACACCGUAAAACGAUGAAUGCCAGUCGUCGGGGUAGCAUGCUAUUCGGUGACACACCUAACGGAUUAAGCAUUCCGCCUGGGGAGUACGGUCGCAAGAUU